CACUCAUGAUUUGGGAAUUGUAUAAUUUUAUCAUUGAACCUUUGCUACACUUAGUAUAAAGGCUCACCACUAAGUUGACAAAAAUUUGUGAUUUCAUCUCUGAGUUG
rfam:Capsicum annuum cultivar Zunla-1 chromosome 8, whole genome shotgun sequence